CUACCAAAAGUUUGUUUUUGGGGGAAGGUUUUUUGAUAACCUUUACCAGCUUGGGCUCUUUGGGAGAGUAAAGAAAAGACCACACUCCACAGUGGGCUAUACCACUAAAUAUAUAGUUCACUACUAUUUUGUGGCCUACAUU
ensembl:snoRNA small nucleolar RNA, H/ACA box 4